UCGAAGGUAAGCAUAAUCAGUAGUCUUUUAAUUGAAGGCUGGUAUGAAUGGUUGGAUGAAAUAUUAACUGUUUCAUUUAAAAUUUUUAUAGAAUUUUAUUUUUUAGUUAAAAAGCUAAAAUUUUAUUAAAAGACGAGAAGACCCUAUAAAUCUUUAUAUUUUAUUUUUAUUAGUUAUUUGGAUAUUUUUAAUUAUUAAAAAUUAAAAUAUUUUAUUGGGGUGAUAUUAAAAUUUAAUAAACUUUUAAUUAAUAAUAACAUAAAUUUAUGAAUUUUUGAUCCAUUAUUAAUGAUUAAAAAUUUAAGUUACUUUAGGGAUAACAGCGUAAUUUUUUUGGAGAGUUCAUAUCGAUAAAAAAGAUUGCGACCUCGAUGUUGGAUUAA
rnacentral:rRNA from 1 species